ensembl:snRNA U6 U6 spliceosomal RNA
GUACUUGUUACAGCAGCACAUAGACUAAUACUAGAAUGAUGCAGAGAUUAGCCUGACCCUUGUGCAAGGAUGACAUGCAAAUUCAUGAAGUCUUCCUUUUUUUU